AGGCAGUGGAAACUGAUAGGCUAGAGUACGGUAGGGGUAGAGGGAAUUCCCAGUGUAGCGGUGAAAUGCGUAGAUAUUGGGAAGAACACCAGUGGCGAAGGCGCUCUACUGGGCCGUAACUGACGCUGAGGGACGAAAGCUAGGGGAGCGAAAGGGAUUAGAUACCCCUGUAGUCUUAGCUGUAAACGAUGGACACUAGGUGUUGGCCGUAUCGACCCGGUCAGUAUCGUAACUAACGCGUUAAGUGUCCCGCCUGGGGAGUACGCACGCUAGUGUGAAACUCAAAGGAAUUGACGGGGGCCCGCACAAGCGGUGGAGUAUGUGGUUUAAUUCGAUGCAACGCGAAGAACCUUACCAGGGUUUGACAUCCCGCGAACUUCUGUGAAAGCGGAAGGUGCCUUCGGGAGCGCGGAGACAGGUGGUGCAUGGCUGUCGUCAGCUCGUGUCGUGAGAUGUUGGGUUAAGUCCCGCAACGAGCGCAACCCUCGUUUUUAGUUGCCAUCAUUAAGUUGGGCACUCUAGAGAGACUGCCGGGGACAACUCGGAGGAAGGUGGGGAUGACGUCAAGUCAUCAUGCCCCUUACAUCCUGGGCUACACACGUACUACAAUGCUGCGGACAAAGGGCAGCGAGCUCGCGAGAGUAAGCUAAUCUCAUAAACCGUGGCUCAGUUCAGAUCGCAGGCUGCAACUCGCCUGCGUGAAGGAGGAAUCGCUAGUAAUCGCAGGUCAGCAUACUGCGGUGAAUACGUUCCCGGGCCUUGUACACACCGCCCGUCACACCAUGGAAGUUGGCCACGCCCGAAGCCGUUACUCCAACCUUUCGAGGAGGGGGACGUCCAAGGCAGGGCUGAUGACUGGGGUGAAGUCCUAACAAGGUAACCAU
rnacentral:rRNA from 1 species